UUUAAUUUCCAAAGACAAGUCAUCACAGAAUAUUACAAUUCUUCCUUAGCAAACCUGCCCCUCAGUCUGCCCCUGAGCAACAACUUUGCGCAUGCCCAUUUCAACGCAUCGCUGAAACUGGGGUUUCAGAAGAGAUUUUGCAGGGGUUCAACACCGUCUUGUACGCAUUGGAUUUCAACUGGAAAUUAGCUACUUCAAAGAUUAUCCUACCACCGUCACACGGCCUAGCACUGUGUCCCUGGGAAAUGAUGAUUCCAUACCCCUAGAUGUCAACUCUGGUCUGGUGGAGGUGAACCAAUUGGGGGCCCAGGAAAACAGCUGGCAGCCAG